UACCCGCAUCAAGACGAAAAGACCCCAGAACCUUUACUGCAACCUGCUAUUGAAAUUUGGUUCACUAUGUGUAGUAUAGGUGGGAGGCUUUGAAGCCUAGGCGCUAGCUUGGGCAGAGCCGCAAUGUGAAAUACCACCCUUAUUGCAUUAAGUUUCUAACUUCUUGCCGUGAAUCCGGCGGGAGGACAGUGACAGGUGGGCAGUUUGACUGGGGCGGUUCCCUUCUAAAAAGUAACGAAGGGGCCCCAAGGUUGGCUCAGGGCGUUCGGCAAUCGCCCGUGGAGCGUAAGCGCAUAAGCCAGCUUAACUGCGAGUCCGACAGGACGAGCAGAUACGAAAGUAGGGGCUAGUGAUCCGGUGGUUGAACGUGGAAUUGCCAUCGCUCAACGGAUAAUAGGUACUCUGGGGAUAACAGGCUUAUUGGACUCGAGAGUUCACAUCGACAGUCCAGUUUGGCACCUC
rnacentral:rRNA from 1 species